CUUUGCAGCACUGGGAAUGGCUCUGUCUUUGCUGGUGUAGCUGCUCCCAAGCACAACUGUCCUGUCUGGGAGCUUCUGAAUGCUUCUCUCCCUGCUACUCUUUCUCCAUACCCAGGACCUAGCAGGCUUGAUCAGCCACAAGAACAAGAGCCCUAGAAUCUGUCUGCGGAAGAGGUCCCGGAGAGCUGAUCCCCCAGCACUGGAACCCUGCAAAAACCCACAGACACAGGUGCCAUCCAUAAACCUGGGAUGCAGGCUGCUGGAGCUGAGCUGCAGAGAGGCUGGCUGUCCCAGUGACAGGCUCCCACCAUUCCUCUGUGCUGCUGCUAGUUCCACUUCCCUGUUGCUGCUGCUCAGUUGGCCAGUGAAUGAGCUGAGGAAUUCUGCCCGAGAUCCACAGUCCUUCUCUUCCCAGCGAGACGAACGUUAACAGCAAGCCAGGAAGGCAAGGUACAGAGAUGCUGACACAUAGACAUGAGAUCCGGGGUCAAAUUUUGGAGCCUGACAUCUUCAAGAAGAAAAAUGGAAACACUGCUAAGUGUUCACACUUUCCCUGUGAAAGCACAGAAACAACACUCCCAAGCCCAGGUGAAGAGAAAGGUGAUUCUUUCCGUACAUAAGAAACACCGUGGGUAGGAUAUCAUUCCGGGGACAAUUGAUUCCAUUUAUCAUUGCAAAUUGCAGAAAGGGUGGAAAUACACUUUCCCUCCCCUCUCCUCCCUUUGGGCACAGAAGAAGUAAGUCAGCGUUUGCUUUUUCCUAAGAAACAGGUGCAGCAGCAAUGAAUUCAAACAUCUCUCUGCUGGUUGGCUUGUGGUCCACUCAAGCUCCCUGGUGUCUGGUUCAAUAUUCCCCACCUGCUCUGGGGGUGGGGCUGAGUAUGGUGACAAGUGUCUCUCUUCUGCAAUAAGUGUUGUUUAAAAUGUAUACGGGCCUGGGUUGUUAGCUUUGCAGCUAGUGGUGUGCAAGUGGGGAGAGGAGGACAGUCUUACAGAGGUGAAAAGUACCUCUAGAAUUAGGCCCCUUUUUCCUCUUUCUGUCUCAUUGUCCUGCACCCCCCAAUAGCGGAUACACUAACUGCCUGGGAGAAGCAGUCAAUCUCUGGUCUGGACAGGAAUUCAGCCUUUGAGGGAAUGUCACAAAUAAUCCUCUUUGAGUCUUAGUGGUGAAAACAGAGCCUGGGGGUAGCGGCUUUUAGUAGCAGAGUUGGAAUGAGCCCCAGGGGAGCAAUGGGAAACACAGGAGGAGGGGUGCAGAGCUCCCUUGUGAGCAAAAGGCCCAGCAGCCUGUCAUCACUGAUCUGUCCUCAGGCCUACAUCAUUCAGGCUCUCAAGGAAAUUGGGAUACUUCAC
rnacentral:lncRNA from 1 species